UACGUAGGGCGCAAGCGUUAUCCGGAAUUAUUGGGCGUAAAGAGCUUGUAGGCGGUUUGUCGCGUCUGCUGUGAAAUUUCGGGGCUCAACCCCGAACUUGCAGUGGGUACGGGCAGACUAGAGUGGUGGUAGGGGAGACUGGAAUUCCUGGUGUAGCGGUGAAAUGCGCAGAUAUCAGGAGGAACACCGAUGGCGAAGGCAGGUCUCUGGGCCACUACUGACGCUGAGAAGCGAAAGCAUGGGGAGCGAACAGG
rnacentral:rRNA from 1 species